GAGGGCACAGUGGUAGAAGAUACAGCCAAGCCCCGUUGCCUGUGGACCUAAAGGAAUAUGGAAGUGCCUGACAUGACUUAUGAUGAAGAGCUUGGAAAGACAUAAAGGAAGUUUUUAAUGAUCUUCCCAGGUGCACACAGAAGUCUCAGAGCUUAUCCUUAAGGAGAGGUGAGCAGAUCCUUCCCACAAUCCUCAGGGGCAAAGAUGAAGACUUGAUUGUGGGUGCUAGGCUGCAUGGAAAAGACCUGAAGCAAUUGUUUGCUAUUGUUUGCUAUUUAUGAUACUAUACUUUGUGUUUCACCAUCU